rnacentral:rRNA from 1 species
AAUAGAUACCCGGGUAGUCCUGGCCCUAAACGAUGAAUGCUUGGUGUGGCGGGUAUCGAUCCCUGCCGUGCCGAAGCUAACGCAUUAAGCACCCCGCCUGGGGAGUACGGCCGCAAGGCUAAAACUCAAAGGAAUUGACGGGGACCCGCACAAGCAGCGGAGCGUGUGGUUUAAUUCGAUGCAACGCGAAGAACCUUACCAGGGUUUGACAUACCCGUGAACGCGGCAGAAAUGUCGUUCCCUUCGGGGCACGGGCACAGGUGCUGCAUGGCUGUCGUCAGCUCGUGCCGUGAGGUGUUGGGUUAAGUCCCGCAACGAGCGCAACCCUCAUCGUCGGUUGCCAGCGGUUUGGCCGGGCACUCUGAAGAAACUGCCGGUGACAAGCCGGAGGAAGGCGGGGUGACGUCAAGUCCUCAUGGCCCCUACGGGCUGGGCUACACACGUGCUACAAUGGCGGUGACAGAGGGAAGCGAAGGCGCGAGCUGAAGCGAACCCGAAAGCCGUCUCAGUUCGGAUUGCACUCUGCAA